rnacentral:rRNA from 1 species
CCUACGGGAGGCAGCAGUGGGGAAUAAUGGGCAAUGGGCGCAAGCCUGACCCAGCAACGCCGCGUGAAGGAAGAAGGCCCUCGGGUUGUAAACUUCUUUUAUUCGGGACGAAACAAAUGACGGUACCGAAUGAAUAAGCCACGGCUAACUACGGGCCAGCAGCCGCGGGAAUACGUAGGUGGCAAGCUUUAUCCGGAUUUACUGGGUGUAAAGGGCGAGUAGGCGGGAGCGCAAGUCAGACGGGAAAUUCCAGGGCUCAACCCUGGAACUGGCUUUGAAACUGUUCUUCUUGAGUGAUGGAGCGGCAGGCGGCAUUCCGUUUGUAGCGGUGAAAUGCGUAGAUAUACGGAG